UACAGAGGGGGCAAGCGUUAUUCGGAAUUAUUGGGCGUAAAGGGUGCGCAGGCGGCGUUCCGCGUGGCGAGAUGAAAUCUCCUGGCUUACCUGGGAGGGUGGUCGCCAGACGGGAGCGCUUGAGGGUCGGAGAGGGGCGUGGAAUUCCAGGUGUAGCGGUGAAAUGCGUAGAUAUCGUAAGGAAGACCAGUGGCGAAGGCGGGUCUCUGGACAGUUCCUGACGCUGAGGCACGAAGGCCAGGGGAGCAAACGGG
rnacentral:rRNA from 1 species